rnacentral:tRNA from 1 species
AGUAGGGUGGUUGAGAAUUAGACGAUAGACUGUAAAUCUAUGAACGGGGGAGUUUAUACCCUCUCUUACUA